rnacentral:tRNA from 1 species
GUCAGGAUGGCCGAGCGGUUAAGGCACCAGACUCAAGAGCAAAGUCAGCAUUGUGUAGCUUCUCACGAAAACGUUCGAUAGUGCGGAUUUCUAACACUCGAUAUAUUUCCAAAGGUCCAAGGUCUUUAAACUAAACACAUACAACAAUACAAACCUUAAAGCUUUUCUCCAUAAAGAAUAUAUUGAGCGAUCUGGGUUUCCAUGAAUUCGUGUCGCGCCAUUUCCCGGGCGCCACACCAUGGAAUCGUGGGUUCGAAUCCCACUCCUGGCA